AAAGAGAGAGAGAGAAGAGCGAAAACCUUACAUGACUCAACAAAGAGAGAGAGAAAGAGGGGGGGAGAGAAAAAGAGAGAGGGGGAGAGACGCGCACGUUAAGGCGCACGUUAGCAUUCCCUGGUGCUGGGCAAAAUUUCGAGUUGUGAAAUCGCAGGCAUUGUCUCUGAGAGGCUUUUCAAAUUGCAAUCCACAAGCUCUGCAAUUUUCUUUUGAGGUUGAACGAGCCCGAAUUAUUUGAAAUUGGUUCACGCAUGGCGGAGACCUGAGAGUUUCUUGCGGCGCAGGUAAUUUCAAUCGUCACUGCAUUAGCUCGUCCACAUUUAGAUGGCUGGCUGUGCAUUGCAGGAAGAACUGGGCGAAAUUCGAAUGUUGCUUUGGGAUUAGAGGUCUCAAGACAUUCCUAGGGUUUCUUUGGUACGGUCGGUGUGAUUGAGCUGGUUUGGAGCUGAAUGUUAUUACUGGAGGGUCUUCUGAGGACGUUCAACGGAGUACUUGCUGUCGUACUAUGAAUACAGGGGUGUUUUGGGUCGAGCUCAUGAGCUGCGGCCCUCUGCUCUGAGGUGCCUCUCAUAGUUAUGGGGUAGAAUAAAGAGCUCUUCCCUUACAUUUUUAUCAAUUUCAGUUAAGUGUUCCGAUUUUCAUGGGGAGAGUUUUGGCAUUGCCUUAUGGUAUCCAUUUUAUUCUGGGCUGUUAUUCAAAUGGGUAUUGGGUCCGUUCCUGCCAAGCACCUGACUUUGCAACUUGAAUGGCUGAUCUUCAGAGAACGGUUUUUGGUGAUAGGAAUAUCGAACAGGCAGUUACAUCUCUUAAGAAAGGUGCAUAUCUACUAAAGUAUGGACGUAGGGGGAAGCCAAAGUUCUGCCCAUUUCGGCUUUCCAGUGAUGAAUCUCUGCUCAUAUGGUAUGCUGGAAAGGAUGAGAAACAGCUAAAGCUCAGUGCUGUUUCAAAAAUCAUUCCUGGGCAGCGAACUGCCAUAUUUCAGCGGUAUCCUCGGCCUGAAAAGGAGUAUCAAUCAUUUUCACUUAUAUACAAUGAAAGGUCCUUGGAUUUGAUUUGUAAGGACAAGGAUGAAGCUGAAACCUGGUUUGUUGGUCUGAAGGCAUUAAUUACUCGUGGUCAUGAUCACAAAUGGAGGUGUGAAUCAAGAAGUGAAAGUGCUUGUUCUGAUAGUCCACAGCAUCACGCCCGAAGAAAUUCUCCAUCAAUUGCACCAUUUGACCUGGUAGAUGCUGAAGAAUGUUCUUUUGACAGUACUUCAGAAAAUAGAUUGGGGAAGGCUUUCUCUGAAAUUAUUUCAUAUACUGCAGCUGGUGCAAGUCCUUGUCAAGCUGAAUCCAAUGCAAAUUCCUCUGUGUCUCCUGGGUCUGGGGAUAACUCAAACAACCGAAAUUCUGCUGCUGAGCCAGUUCGAGUUAGUUUAUCAAGUGCUGUAAGUUCAUCCAGCCACAGCUCUUACCAAGAAGAUUUUGAUGCUAUAGGUGAUGUUUUUAUUUUUGGAGAAGGUAUUGGUGAUGGAGUCCUUGGUGGUGGUUUGCAUAGACUUGGAACUUCAUCUGGUUCUGAGAUGGAUGCAUUUCUUCCUAAGGCAUUGGAAUCAAAAGUAGUUCUGGAUGUUCAGAGCAUUGCUUGUGGCUACAAACAUGCUGCUCUAGUUACCAAGCAAGGAGAGGUAUAUAGCUGGGGGGAGGAAUCAGGAGGCAGGCUAGGGCAUGGUGUAGAAGUGGAUGUUUCUCACCCUAAAGUCAUCGACACUCUUAGUGGCGCAAAUAUUGAAUUAGUAGCAUGUGGAGAGUAUCACUCUUGUGCUGUCACAUUUUCUGGGGAUCUUUAUACCUGGGGUGAUGGCAUUCACAAUUCUGGAUUACUUGGGCAUGGAAAUGAAGUCAGUCACUGGAUUCCUAAGAAAGUAAGUGGUAACAUGGAAGGCAUACAUGUAUCCUAUGUAUCUUGUGGACCUUGGCACACAGCGAUUGUGACAUCUUCUGGCCAGUUGUUCACAUUUGGGGAUGGAUCUUUUGGUGCCUUAGGUCUAGGAGAUCUUAGUAGCACAAAUACUCCUAGGGAAGUAGAAACUUUGAAAGGGUUGAGAACAACCAGGGUCUCCUGUGGUGUUUGGCACACUGCUGCUGCUGUUGAGGUGGCAACUGAAUCUAUGGAAUCUUCUAGACACUCUAGAGGAAAACUGUUCACCUGGGGUGAUGGAGAUAAAGGCCAACUUGGACAUGGUGAUAGCGAGCCUAGACUAGUUCCCCAAUGUGUUAUUGCAUUGGAUAAUCAAAAUAUUUGUCAAGUGGCUUGUGGUCACAGCCUCACUGUUGCUUUAACAGCCUCAGGACGUGUAUAUACAAUGGGCCAUACUGCUUAUGGGCAACUUGGCAAUCCUGCAGCUGAUGGAAAGUUCCCUACACAGGUUGAAGGUAAGAUUGGUGGUAGUUUCAUAGAAGAUAUUGCCUGUGGUUCAUAUCAUAUUGGAGUCCUGACUUCCAAAGCAGAGGUUUACACCUGGGGAAAGGGUUCGAAUGGGCAGCUAGGCCAUGGAGACAGUGGUCACCGAGAUACACCUACACUCGUUAAGUUUUUUAAAAAUAAGCAGGCGAGGAGUAUUGUUUGUGGCUCAAACUUUACUGCUGUUAUAUGUCCUCAUAAAUGGGUAUCAAGUGCUGACCAUUCUGUGUGUUCUGGUUGUCACAAUCCUUUUGGAUUCAGAAGAAAACGCCAUAAUUGCUACAACUGUGGACUUGUUUUUUGCUCAGCAUGCAGCAGUGGAAAAUCUACUAAAGCUUCUCUUGCUCCAACUUCAAACAAGCAAUAUCGUGUUUGCGGUGACUGUUAUUCUAAACUUAAGAAGACCACAGAAUCUGUUUCCUUGACAAAAACUUUUACAUUGAAAAAUUUGCCUGACUCUUGGGCUAGUAAAUUGCAGGGAAAGCUAUUAAGGCUUUCAUCUUUUGGCUCUAAUGUUCAAGCAGGAAGCAGGCCCUCAAAGAUCCCAGGAUCACAUCAUACCCAUGUUUUUCCAGCUCUGAAUGGAAAACUACAGUUGGGGGGAUUCAGUCCUCUAAAUGCAUCAAAUUCUGUUCCUGGAGCAUCAGAGAAGCCCCUGUCAGUUUCUGUGCCUGCAAGUGGUUUGAACUCUGAAGUGUCAUCUCCAGUUUCAGAAAAGUUGAGUCCACGAUGGUCUUCUGAAGAAGUUCAUGAUGAUUCAAAGAACAGAAACAGCGUUUUAAGUCACAGUGUUUUAAGUCAGGAGGUUAUAAGUUUAAGGGCACAGGUUGAAAAUCUUACUCUUAAAUCGAAGCAUCUUGAGGCUGAACUUGAGAGGACAUCAAAGCAGUUAAAGGAAGUGACUGCAGUAGCAGCAGAAGAAGCUGAGAAGUGUAAAUCUGCUAAAGAGGUUAUAAAGUCAUUGACUGCUCAGUUGAAGGAAAUGGUACAAAGAGUGCCAGAUGGAGGUCUUGGGAACUCAAAUGCCGACUUCUCUGCUGAAAUUACCACUAAUAUUCUAAAUCAGUCUUUAAAUGAGUGCCAUAUAACGAACAGUACCAUUCCUGAAUCUGAGUCGAUCAGCAAUGCAGAAAAUCGGAUAAUGCCUGAUAUUUCCAAAGCACAAAGUGGAAAAUCAGAGUGGGUGGUUCAAGAUGAACCGGGUGUAUACAUAAGUUUGUCCUCCUUGCCAGGUGGUGGUAAUGAACUUAAACGUGUGCGUUUCAGGCUUUCCUGAUGGACAAGUUUAGUGCCUUCUACCGUGUUUUCAAAUAAAAGCAUAACACGUCAACAUUUUUUCUAACUCAUUUAUGCAGUAUUAGAAGAGAUCAUGUCGGAAACAUUUCACAGAACAGGAAGCUGAAAAGUGGUGGGCUGAAAAUGGGACCAAAGUAUUGGAGCGGCACAGUGUAGUCGCUACAUAGAAUGCAGCAAGCAAGCAACAGCACUUGUUUCCUUGGAACAACAAAAAAGCUUCACACAAGCAGCAUUUCUGACCCUCUGGAAAUUGUAAAUUCUCUAAUCUUGCCCUUCUCAUUCUCCUCCUCCCCUGAAAAUGAAGGAUCUUUCGUCCGGUAUUUUGACUGUAUAAUAUGAAAGUUAGAUGAAGGCAUAGGAAGAACUGUUAAUAUUCCCGAAAAUUGUAAACUGAGAUGGGGAAAAUAUUAAAGAGCAAAGAUGAGGAGGAAGAAACAUUUUUUUUUGCACCCAUUGUCGAGUAUGGCCGCGUCUUAGCCGUGUGUACUUGUUUGUCUGUUGAACAGUGCCAAUGCCCGAGGAGCACCUGUUCCAUUCCCUCUGGCACAUUGUAUAGCAGACGAGUUUGGAGCUUUUAGACUUCGUUAUCAGGAUUAUUAGACAUAGUAUGACAAA